rnacentral:rRNA from 1 species
UACGGAGGGUGCGAGCGUUGUCCGGAAUCAUUGGGCGUAAAGGGCGCGUAGCGGGCCCGCCAGUCUGUGGUGAAAGCCCCCGGCUCAACCGGGGAAGUGCCGUGGAUACUGCGGGUCUCGAGGGAGGUAGGGGCGUGUGGAACUUCCGGUGGAGCGGUGAAAUGCGUAGAUAUCGGAAGGAACGCCGGUGGCGAAAGCGACGCGCUGGACCUCUACUGACGCUGAGGCGCGAAAGCCAGGGGAGCAAACGGG